CCUACGGGUGGCAGCAGUAGGGAAUAUUGCUCAAUGGGGGAAACUCUGAAGCAGCAACGCCGCGUGGAGGAUGAAGGUCUUCGGAUUGUAAACUCCUUUUGUUAGAGAAGAGAAUGACGGUAUCUAACGAAUAAGAACCGGCUAACUCCGUGACAGCAUCCGCGGUAAGACGGAGGGUGCAAGCGUUCCUCGGAAUCACUGGGCGUAAAGAGCGCGUAGGCGGGAUAGCAAGUCAGAUGUGAAAUCCUAUGGCUUAACCCGAGAACUGCAUUUGAAACUGUUAUUCUAGAGUAUGGGAGCGUUAGGUGGACUUCUUGGUGUAGCGCUCACAUCCGUACAGAUCCAGCGGAAUACUCAUUGCGAAGGCGACCUGCUAGAACAUAUCUGACGCUGAUGCGC
rnacentral:rRNA from 1 species